rnacentral:lncRNA from 1 species
CGGAGAAACAUUGUACCUUUAUUUGGCCACCUCCCCAGAGGCUGUUAGUUCGGUACUCGUCCGAAAAAAUGAGAGCCGAAUCCACCAGCCCAUAUACUAUACCAGCAAGAUACUCCACGGGGCCAAAACUCGAUACUCGAGGGCGGAGAAGAUGAUAUUUACCCUGGUCAUAUCCGCGCAAUGACUCUGCCCAUAUUUCCAAGCACACACCAUCAUAGUCCUCACCA